AGAUAAACAAGAAGCAAAAAGGGGCUGGCCCGGUGCCUGAGUGGUUAAGUUCAUAUGCUCCACUUCGGUGGCCCAGGCUUCACCAGUUUGGAUCCUAGGCACAGAUCUACACACUGCUCAUCAGGCCAUGCUGUGGUGGUAUCUCAUAUAGAAGAACUAGAAGGACUUAUAACUAGGAUAUGCAACUAUGUACUGGGGCUAUGGAGAGAAAAUUAAAAAAAAGAAGCAAAGAAACAAUAUGCUUCUCAAUGUGGAUAAGUGCCUGACUGACAGAGCGAUGGGGAUGAGUCAACCUGGAGAGUCAAAGGCUACAUUGAAUUGGGUGAUCAGGGAAGGCCUCUCUAAGGAAGUCACAUUUGACCUGAGACCUAAGACUUAAGAAGGAUUCAGGUGCCAAAGCAUUAGAGCAAGAAGUUUCUACACAGAGCAAGAGCAAGAGACUACGACAUCCCAAAGAAUCAGUUUCAUCUGUGAUUUCAAGAUGGCAUUCAACAGUGCUAGGAGAAACAUACUUCCUCUUCUACAAUGGGAAAGAGAGAGAGAAACCUGGAUUUGAGUUGAUUCAAGACCAAGAGAGAGGUUAAGAAGUAGGCACAGAGAAUCCUUUAAAGGCUCAGUCCACCAGCCCACGUGAAGUCAUUGGUUAUCUCUGAACUGGAACCUCGCGUUUUAACUCCUAUCUAGCUACUACCAAGAGUGGAAAAGUCCUGUAAAAAUGUGCAAAAGGACAAAGGUAUAAUGACAAGGAAUACUCAUGUGAACCCUAAUGUAAACUCUGGACUUUGGGUGACAAUGGCGUGUCAAGAUGAGCUGAAACGAGAACUGGGCUCGACAAGCAAGGAUAUCCACAGCAAUAUGCUGACAGUCCGCGCUUGCUGACCUGACUCGCCAUGUCAGGUCUGAGAAGAUAAAAGAUGGCGUCUUUCCAAGUGGAAAUGAGGAAUGAGCACAGCCACUCCACGCUGGAGCCAGCUCCUCUUUCUGUGACACACACGCAACUCUCACUCGGCAAUUCCCUCAGUAAGAACAUUUCAAA
rnacentral:lncRNA from 1 species